AAGUCAUUUCUGACUUUCUUUGGACUUUAUGAGGUUAAAAAUGGUUUGGGAAAACAGAAUUCCUUCAGAGGCUGCCUGUGGAGAUCAUUGAAUCCUGAGAUUUAUCUGGAUGAAUCUUCUUAAUAACAUGUCUGUGAGGUCAGAAUGGGCUUCCCACAGGGCUCAGUGGUAAAGAAUCUGCCUACCAAUGCAGGAGAUGUGGGAGAUGUGGGUUCGAUCCCUGGGUCAGGGAAUUCUCUGGAGUAGGAAAUGGCAAACCACUUCAGUCUUCUUUGCCUUGGAAAAUUCCAUGGAUAGGGUAGCCUAGGGGGCUGUAGGCUAUGGGGUUGCAAAGAAUCAUACACGACUGAACACCUGAGGUCAGACAUGGUUCUCUCAAUGACUUGAAGACCUGGAACACACCUCAAAAGCUUCCAAAAUCUCAUUUCCCAUCUCAGAGCACCCUUGGAGUCCUAAAAGGUGAACCAUCUCAAGGAUCUUAACACCUUCAUUCAGAGGCACAGUGCUGUCCCCAUUUUCAGACCACAGAGAAAUAUUGUGUCCUAAGUUUUGGUUCAAAAAUGUUUUCCUUAUUUGCAACAAAAUGAAGGAAUUGUCAUAGUAAAGAAUUCAGAGACUGCCUUGUUUGAGAGAGAGACAGAGCAGCCUGGGUAAGUGGUGGGUGAGAGGUAGGUGAUUCAGGCAAUGUCCUCCUUGCCUCCACUUCCAAGAGAAGGAUGUAGGAGCCCUGAAUCUGCAAAACCAGAGAUCUGGUUCUUGGCCUUAAAGCUUCCUUCUCUCUUGCUUUCCAUCUUGAAUCACUCACAAAAUGCUGUUGGGGGCUCCUAAAUUUUUUUUUUCCCAGUUCUGCCCACAACCUCUUUUUUCUUCACUGAGAAGUUCUCUUUUCUUUCUUUGUGGUUUUUUUACAAAUGAAAGCAUCCACCUGAAAUAUUUCAUUUUUGUUGUCUCAUCCCAUGAGGUAGAAAUCUAACUGGAUGCUUCUCAAGAAGAGUUUUCAGUGCUUCCUCACUACCCCUCAGGACUCCCCACCUCACCCACGGCAUGCCCAAGACACCCCACAAAUGCACACAGAGGGGGAACAACCCUUAUUUCAUUCCACUCAAUUCCUUUCCGGUUGGUUGCCCAGAAUUCAGUUUCCUUCAGUCGUCUCUAGGUGUCAUCCGAGAGGAGCCUCUCCAGACUGGAUUUUCAGCACAGAUGCCGGGGCUUGGCGGGCCUGGCAGGGUUGGGAUGCUGGGGGCUCUGCCUUCACUGCUGGUGUGGAGUCUGAGCUCCUCCCCAUGCUGGCCCCAGCCGUCUCCUCCCAGCAGCUGGGGUCGGGGCAAGUGGCUCUCCGGGCAGAGGGGAGCUCCUCCCCCAGCGUUCUCAUCCCCAGUGAAAGAGAAUUGCCCUCUGUGACUGUACAUAGAAUCUGCCAGCAAGAGCCGCCUGAGAGAACAAACAACGGAGCUCUAUGUACCUCUGCAGAAAAAGGACAAAAAUUCCAACACUUCAAUGGUUGCAUAUGGGAUCCACAGCCACCCCAGAGCAUCCCGGAGAUCACCCGGCACAUAAGACAUCUUCAGGGCUUAAAUUAUCUUGCAAAUAUCAAAAAGAUGUGCGUGGACCCAGGGGUGCCAGGAGACCGACCAUCACCAGCUGUGGUUCGCCCGCCGGCUCCACACCGCAGCUCAGAUGGGUCACCUCCCAGGUGUUCAGUCCACGACUGCGGAGCUGGCGAGGAUCUCGAGCGCCGUUUGUUGUGCUGCAGAUCGGUUUGA
rnacentral:lncRNA from 1 species